GACGAACGCUGGCGGCGUGCCUAAUACAUGCAAGUCGAGCGGAGUUGAUGAGAUGCUUGCAUCUCUGAUACUUAGCGGCGGACGGGUGAGUAACACGUGGGUAACCUGCCUUUAAGACUGGGAUAACAUUCGGAAACGGAUGCUAAUACCGGAUAGGCGAUUUGGUCGCAUGAUCGAAUCGAGAAAGAUGGAGCAAUCUAUCGCUUAGAGAUGGACCCGCGGCGCAUUAGCUAGUUGGUGAGGUAACGGCUCACCAAGGCGACGAUGCGUAGCCGACCUGAGAGGGUGAUCGGCCACACUGGGACUGAGACACGGCCCAGACUCCUACGGGAGCUG
rnacentral:rRNA from 1 species